GCGCACCAGGCGCGAAUCCUUCGCAAUGCGGGAAACCGCGACGAGGGGACUCCCAGUGCCUACGCUCAGCGUAGGCUGUUCCCGAGCCUAGAAAGCUCGGGGAGUAAGGGCUGGGUAAGACGGGUGCCAGCCGCCGCGGUAAUACCCGCAGCCCGAGUGGUGGCCACUAUUAUUGGGCCUAAAGCGUCCGUAGCCGGCCCGGUAAAUGCCUGGGUAAAUCGUGAGGCCUAACCUCACGAAUUCCGGGUAGACUGCCGGGCUAGGGACCGGAGGAGGGAGAGGGUACUCCAGGGGUAGGGGUGAAAUCCUGUAAUCCCUGGAGGACCACCGGUGGCGAAGGCGCUCUCCUAGGACGGGUCCGACGGUGAGGGACGAAAGCCAGGGGAGCGAACCGGAUUAGAUACCCCUGUAGU
rnacentral:rRNA from 1 species